rnacentral:rRNA from 1 species
AGGGAUGCGUGGGAUGAGGCUUUGCCUGCUAUCUCUUACCCAUGUCUUUUGAGUACCUUACGUUUCCUCGGCGGGUCCGCCCGCCGAUUGGACAAUUUAAACCAUUUGCAGUUGCAAUCAGCGUCUGAAAAAACUUAAUAGUUACAACUUUCAACAACGGAUCUCUUGGUUCUGGCAUCGAUGAAGAACGCAGCGAAAUGCGAUAAGUAGUGUGAAUUGCAGAAUUCAGUGAAUCAUCGAAUCUUUGAACGCACAUUGCGCCCCUUGGUAUUCCAUGGGGCAUGCCUGUUCGAGCGUCAUUUGUACCUUCAAGCUCUGCUUGGUGUUGGGUGUUUGUCUCGCCUCUGCGUGUAGACUCGCCUCAAAACAAUUGGCAGCCGGCGUAUUGAUUUCGGAGCGCAGUACAUCUCGCGCUUUGCACUCAUAACGACGACGUCCAAAAGUACAUUUUUACACUCUUGACCUCGGAUCAGGUAGGGAUACCCGCUGAACUUAAG